rnacentral:rRNA from 1 species
UACGGGGGGGGCAAGCGUUGUUCGAAAUUACUGGGCGUAAAGGGCUCGUAGGCGGCCAACUAAGUCGGACGUGAAAUCCCCAGGCUCAACCUGGGAACUGCGUCCGAUACUGGAUGGCUUGAAUCCGGGAGAGGGAUGCAGAAUUCCAGGUGUAGCGGUGAAAUGCGUAGAUAUCUGGAGGAAUACCGGUGGCGAAGGCGGCAUCCUGGACCGGCAUUGACGCUGAGGAGCGAAAGCCAGGGGAGCAAACGGG